rnacentral:rRNA from 1 species
UUCGAAGGGGGCUAGCGUUGCUCGGAAUCACUGGGCGUAAAGGGUGCGUAGGCGGGUCUUUAAGUCAGGGGUGAAAUCCUGGAGCUCAACUCCAGAACUGCCUUUGAUACUGAAGAUCUUGAGUCCGGGAGAGGUGAGUGGAACUGCGAGUGUAGAGGUGAAAUUCGUAGAUAUUCGCAAGAACACCAGUGGCGAAGGCGGCUCACUGGCCCGGUACUGACGCUGAGGCACGAAAGCGUGGGGAGCAAACAGG